ensembl:lncRNA
GUAAAGGCCAGGGCCGGUCCUCGUUGUUUUCCAUUAGAAGACGUGAUGUCAACUCGCUCCUCAAAGGCGGCCUGAUGGCGUGAGACCAGGCCCAGCCUCCUGGAGACCUCCCAGUGUCCUAACAUGCCCUCGAAAUUCGAUCUGUAAGGAACCCAUCUGGGAUUACGGUGGUCCGUGGUGCGGCUCCACAGAUGCUUUGAAUCGGGUUUCCUCUGAUGACCCUCAGGUUAUUUAGGUGUUUGCUCUCAGAUCUUCGUCGUCGUUGGUUCUGCACAACGGACACGGAGCGAUCCCGUCAUACCAACUACAGCCUUUGUCGCUGGACGCCGGCCGUUCUUCUGUAGGUACCAGAUGCAGCCGGCUGCCGUGGUAACGCGGAGCCGAGACGGCGGGGCCUCGUCUGUGAUGGAUGAGUCCGUGGUCCGUGCCAGGGGCCACGGGCCCCACAGACAAACACAGUGAUGCCCCCCCCCGGGAUCCUGAUAAUGGAUUCCACGUUUUCAGUCUUUGGCCCCUGGUUGAACGUCUUGGCUUUGCUCCCCUCUGGGAUCACCCGAGAUUUAUCCCGUCUGAGCAGCCCAGGACAUCAGGGACUUACAACCGUUUGUUCCCACGUUCACACACACACACACCGACGGUGUGUCAACCACGCAGGGCGACAGCCAGCUCGUCAGGCGCAGUCAGGGGUGAGGCGUUUCACUCAGGGACACCUCGACCCUCAGCCAGGAGGAUGCU